GUGCCAGCAGCCGCGGUAAUACAGAGGGUGCGAGCGUUGUCCGGAAUCACUGGGCGUAAAGGGCGCGUAGGUGGCGCCCCAAGUCGAUGGUGAAAGCUCGCCGCUCAACGGCGAGUCGGCCACCGAUACUGGGGGGCUUGAGCACUGUAGAGGCAGAUGGAAUUCCGGGUGUAGCGGUGGAAUGCGUAGAGAUCCGGAAGAACACCGGUGGCGAAGGCGGUCUGCUGGGCAGUUGCUGACACUGAGGCGCGACAGCGUGGGGAGCAAACAGGAUUAGAUACCCCGGUAGUCC
rnacentral:rRNA from 1 species